GAAAAAAGUAGUAUCCCAGUAUAAUUGGUAAACGCAUAAAUAUAAUUUCAUCAAAGAAUAAAAAAUAGAACUAUUAAGGAAACAGUAAAAAUGUUUGUGGUUGCUAGUAAUCAUAGAAUGUAAAUUAAGACAAAAUAACUUAUUUUUACAUUCAAAUUAAUUAAAGGAUAUGAUCUCAAAAAUGUCAUGAAAAUGGUGCUUUUAUAUCUUGCAGGUGGGAAGACAAAUUGAUGCAACCCUCUUGAAAAGCAAUCUGGCAAUAUGAACCAAGAGCCAUGAAAAGGCUUAUGCUAUUAUAAUUAGUAAGUCAAUUUAUAGAAAUUUGUUUUUUAAAAGUAAAGUAAAAUAAGAGAAAACCCUUGCUGGGAAAGAUGUUCAUUGCAAUAUUGCCUACAACAGGAAAAAUAUUGGAAGAAAAAAAUCUAACAAAUUGAUAAAAUCAUAUUAGGUAAAUUAGGGUGGACCUCUGUGGUAGAAAAUUAUGCAACUGAUAGAAAUGAUAAUAAUAAAAAUCACAUAGCAACAUAGAAAUGCCUUAAUUAGAAUCUUAAGUGGAAAAUGAGCAUAUGAAAUAGAAUGCAGGCUAUUGUCAUUACAUACAAUUAUGUAGAGAAGACUGAAAGGAAACAUUUCAAAGGUUUGUAAGUUAUUUAAAGAUAGUGGGAUUACAGAUUUUUUUUUUUUUUUACUUUCCAUAUAUAUUCUUCAAUGUUGUUAUAAUGAUUUAACAAUGAAAAUGUAAUUGAUAGUGUAUUAUUGCUAUUUCCUUAAUUCCAGAAUGGCUGUAAUGUUGGCUGUAAAUAUGAAAUUUUCUUUCACACACCAGUAUUUUCAAGAAUGGCAUAUUCACAUGCAGUAUGUGAACUCCUGAGUGUGCUCAAGAGUGAAUUGCUUUGGAAUGGGAGGAAUUCAAGCCCAGCUUCCCUGAAGACUGCCACUGGGGAGCAGCAGAUUUCACACAGCGGAAAGCCUUUGAACUUCUUGCAGGAAAGAUAGUAUAUCUCAGUUAAGAGAUGUAUGUUUGGAGAAAAUCAUAGUCCUUGCUUUUUCCCAUGCAGAUGGAUUUUUAUCUGAAUACUGAUGUGUUUGUCACCAAACAGAAAAUAAACCAUGAGACACUUAACUAAAAGACAAAAGUUUGAAAGGAAAUAAGCUUCACAAUUACUCAAGAUGGAAUCCAUUCUACAAUUUUUUUUCCUACAACAUCUGUUUUACAUUUCCCGAUUAGCAAUACUUUCAUGAGAAUUUAGCAGAUGAAAUGAAAGUAUAUAGAAUUAGUCCAUUUUCACACUGCUGAUAGAGACAUACCUGAAACUGGGCAAUUUACAAAAGAAAGAGAUUUAAUUGGACUCAUAGUUCCACAUGGCUGGGGAGGCCUCAAUCAUGGUGGAAGGUAAGGAGGAACAAGUCACAUCUUACGUGGAUGGCAGCAGGCAAAAAGGGCUUGUGCAGGGAAAUUCCCAUUUUUAAAACCAUCAGAUCUUGUGAGACUCCUUCACUAUCAUGAGAACAGCACAGGAAAGACCCACUCCUAUGAUUCAGUCAUCUCCCACUGGGUCCCUCCACAACACGUGGGAAUUAUGGGAGCUACGAGAUGAGAUUUGGGUGGGGACCCAGAGCCAAACCAUAUCAUAUAUGUAGAUAUGAAGAUAAAUAUUCUGG
ensembl:lincRNA